AGUCACUGACAUUAGAUACCCCCGUAGUCCCAGCCGUAAACAAUGUGCGUUAGGUGUGUCGGUAACCACGCGUUACUGAUGCGCCGAAGAGAAAUCGUGAAACGCACCACCUGGGAAGUACGGUCGCAAGGCUGAAACUUAAAGGAAUUGGCGGGGAGCACCACAACAGGUGGAGCCUGCGGUUUAAUUGGAUUCAACGCCGGACAUCUCGCCGGAUAAGACAGCUGAAUGAUUGUCAAUCUGAAGGUUUUACAUGACUAGCUG
rnacentral:rRNA from 1 species